GAUGAACGCUGGCGGCGUGCCUAAUACAUGCCAGUCGAGCGAACGGACGAGAAGCUUGCUUCUCUGAUGUUAGCGGCGGACGGGUGAGUAACACGUGGAUAACCUACCUAUAAGACUGGGAUAACUUCGGGAAACCGGAGCUAAUACCGGAUAAUAUUUUGAACCGCAUGGUUCAAAAGUGAAAGACGGUCUUGCUGUCACUUAUAGAUGGAUCCGCGCUGCAUUAGCUAGUUGGUAAGGUAACGGCUUACCAAGGCAACGAUGCAUAGCCGACCUGAGAGGGUGAUCGGCCACACUAGAACUGAAACACGGUCCAGACGCCUACGGGAGGCAGCAGUAGGGAAUCUUCCGCAAUGGGCGAAAGCCUGACGGAGCAACGCCGCGUGAGUGAUGAAGGUCUUCGGAUCGUAAAACUCUGUUAUUAGGGAAGAACAUAUGUGUAAGUAACUGUGCACAUCUUGACGGUACCUAAUCAGAAAGCCACGGCUAACUACGUG
rnacentral:rRNA from 1 species